CCUACGGGAGGCAGCAGUCGGGAAUAUUGCGCAACGGAGGAAACUCUGACGCCGUGACGCCGCGUGCAGGAAGAAGGUUUUCGGAUUGUAACCUGCUUUAGACAGGGAAGAAAAAAGACAGUACCUGUAGAAUAAGCUCCGGCUAACUACGUGCCAGCAGCCGCGGUAAUACGUAGGGAGCAAGCGUUAUCCGGAUUUAUUGGGUGUAAAGGGUGCGUAGACGGAGAAGCAAGUUAGUUGUGAAAUGCCUCGGCUUAACUGAGGAACUGCAACUAAAACUACUUCCAUUGAGUACAGUUGAGGUAGGCGGAAUUCGUGGUGUAGCGGUGAAAUGCUUAGAUAUCACGAAGAACUCCGAUUGCGAAGGCAGCUUACUAAACUGCCACUGACAUUGAUGCUCGAAAGUGUGGGUAUCAAACAGGAUUAGAUACCCUGGUAGUC
rnacentral:rRNA from 1 species